AUUGAACGCUGGCGGAAUGCUUUACACAUGCAAGUCGAACGGCAGCACGGACUUCGGUCUGGUGGCGAGUGGCGAACGGGUGAGUAAUGUAUCGGAACGUGCCCAGUCGUGGGGGAUAACGUAGUGAAAAUUACGCUAAUACCGCAUACGAUCUAUGGAUGAAAGCGGGGGAUCGCAAGACCUCGCGCGAUUGGAGCGGCCGAUAUCAGAUUAGGUAGUUGGUGGGGCAAAGGCCCACCAAGCCAACGAUCUGUAGAUGGUCGGAGAGGACGACCAGCCACACUGGAACUGAGACACGGUCCAGACUCCUACGGGAGGCAGCAGUGGGGAAUUUUGGACAAUGGGCGAAAGCCUGAUCCAGCCAUUCCGCGUGCAGGAUGAAGGCCCUCGGGUUGUAAACUGCUUUUGUACAGAACGAAAAGGUUUCUACUAAUACUAGGAGCUCAUGACGGUACUGUAAGAAUAAGCACCGGCUAACUCCGUGCCAGCAGCCGCGGUAA
rnacentral:rRNA from 1 species